AGCGAACGCUGGCGGCAGGCCUAACACAUGCAAGUCGAACGAACCUUUCGGGGUUAGUGGCGGCCGGGUGCGUAACACGUGGGAACGUGCCUUUAGGUUCGGAAUAACUCAGGGAAACUUGUGCUAAUACCGAAUGUGCCCUUCGGGGGAAAGAUUAAUCGCCUUUAGAGCGGCCCGCGGCUGAUUAGCUUGUUGGUUGGGGUGAUGGCUUAGCAAGGCGAGGAUUGGUAGCUGGUCUGAGAGGAGGAUCAGCCACAUUGGGAGAGAGACACGGCCCACACUCCGACGCGAGGAAGCAGUGCGGACUGUUGCACAAUGGGGGAGAGCCUGAUCCAGCCCUGCGGCGUAAAGGAUGAAGGACCUAGGGUUGUAAAAUGCUUUUGGACGGAGCGAAAAGCCUUCUUUUAAUCCAGGAGGGUAAUGACGGUACCGGAAGAAGAAGCACCGGCUAACUACGUG
rnacentral:rRNA from 1 species